UACGAAGGGGGCUAGCGUUGCUCGGAAUUACUGGGCGUAAAGGGCGCGUAGGCGGCCUUGUCAGUCAGGCGUGAAAUUCCUGGGCUUAACCUGGGGGCUGCGCUUGAUACGGCAGGGCUAGAGGUCAGAAGAGGGUCGUGGAAUUCCCAGUGUAGAGGUGAAAUUCGUAGAUAUUGGGAAGAACACCGGUGGCGAAGGCGGCGACCUGGUCUGAUACUGACGCUGAGGCGCGACAGCGUGGGGAGCAAACAGG
rnacentral:rRNA from 1 species